rnacentral:rRNA from 1 species
AGCGAACGCUGGCGGCAGGCCUAAAACAUGCAAGUCGAACGGACCCUUCGGGGUUAGUGGCGGACGGGUGAGUAACACGUGGGAACGUGCCCUUUGGUUCGGAAUAAUCCGGGGAAACCUGGCCUAAUGCCGAAUGUGCCCUACGGGGGAAAGAUUAUCGCCAUUGGAGCGGCCCGCGCCUGAUUAGCUAGUUGGUGAGGUAAAGGCUCACCAAGGCGACGAUCAGUAGCUGGUCUGAGAGGAUGAUCAGCCACACUGGGACUGAGACAC